rnacentral:rRNA from 1 species
GACGAACGCUGGCGGCGUGCCUAAUACAUGCAAGUAGAACGCUGAAGGAGGAGCUUGCUUCUCUGGAUGAGUUGCGAACGGGUGAGUAACGCGUAGGUAACCUGCCUGGUAGCGGGGGAUAACUAUUGGAAACGAUAGCUAAUACCGCAUAAUAGUAGAUGUUGCAUGACAUUUGCUUAAAAGGUGCAAUUGCAUCACUACCAGAUGGACCUGCGUUGUAUUAGCUAGUUGGUGGGGUAACGGCUCACCAAGGCGACGAUACAUAGCCGACCUGAGAGGGGGAUCGGCCACGCUGGGACUGAGACACGGCCCAGACGCCUACGGGAGGCAGCAGUAGGGAAACUUCGGCAAUGGACGGAAGUCUGACCGAGCAACGCCGCGUGAGUGAAGAAGGUUUUCGGAUCGUAAAGCUCUGUUGUAAGAGAAGAACGAGUGUGAGAGUGGAAAGUUCACACUGUGACGGUAUCUUACCAGAAAGGGACGGCUAACUACGUG